GAUGAACGCUGGCGGCGUGCCUAAUACAUGCAAGUCGAGCGAACAGACGAGGAGCUUGCUCCUCUGACGUUAGCGGCGGACGGGUGAGUAACACGUGGAUAACCUACCUAUAAGACUGGGAUAACUUCGGGAAACCGGAGCUAAUACCGGAUAAUAUAUUGAACCGCAUGGUUCAAUAGUGAAAGACGGUUUUGCUGUCACUUAUAGAUGGAUCCGCGCCGCAUUAGCUAGUUGGUAAGGUAACGGCUUACCAAGGCAACGAUGCGUAGCCGACCUGAGAGGGUGAUCGGCCACACUGGAACUGAGACACGGUCCAGACUCCUACGGGAGGCAGCAGGAGGGAAUCUGCCGCAAUGGGCGAAAGCCUGACGGAGCAACGCCGCGUGAGUGAUGAAGGUCUUCGGAUCGUAAAACUCUGUUAUUAGGGAAGAACAAAUGUGUAAGUAACUAUGCACGUCUUGACGGUACCUAAUCAGAAAGCCACGGCUAACUACGU
rnacentral:rRNA from 1 species